rnacentral:sRNA from 1 species
GCCGGGCAUAGUGGUGCAUGCCUGUAAUCCCAGCUGCUAGGGAGGCUGAGGCAGGAGGAUUGCGAGUUCCAAGCCAGCCUCAGCAAAAGCGAGGUGCUAAGCAACUCAGUGAGACCCUGUCUUUA